rfam:Hordeum vulgare subsp. vulgare, WGS project CAJW01000000 data, contig: morex_contig_275879
UACAUACUCCCUCCGUCCCAAAAUUUCCCUCUUAAAUUUGUCCAGAUAUAGAUGUAUCUGUUCAUGUUUUAGUAUUAGAUACAUCCGUAUCUAGACAAUUCUAAGACAUGAAUUUUGGGACGGAGGUAAUACUUG